rnacentral:rRNA from 1 species
UACGGAGGGUGCAAGCGUUGCUCGGAAUUAUUGGGCGUAAAGGGUAGGUAGGUGGUCUCAUUUGUCUGGGGUGAAAGCCUUGAGCUUAACUCAAGAAGUGCCCCAGAAACGGUGAGACUAGAGUCCUGGAGAGGGUCGUGGAAUUCCCGGUGUAGCGGUGAAAUGCGUAGAGAUCCGGAGGAACACCGAAGGCGAAGGCAGUGUCCUGGCGCGUAUCUGACGCUGAGGUGCGAAAGCCAGGGGAGCGAACGGG